rnacentral:rRNA from 1 species
GACGAACGCUGGCGGCGUGCUUAACACAUGCAAGUCGAACGGAAAGGCCCUGCUUUUGUGGGGUGCUCGAGUGGCGAACGGGUGAGUAACACGUGAGUAACCUGCCCUUGACUUUGGGGUAACUUCAGGAAACUGGGGCUAAUACCGGAUAGGAGCUCCUGCUGCAUGGUGGGGGUUGGAAAGUUUCGGCGGUUGGGGAUGGACUCGCGGCUUAUCAGCUUGUUGGUGGGGUAGUGGCUUACCAAGGCUUUGACGGGUAGCCGGCCUGAGAGGGUGACCGGCCACAUUGGGACUGAGAUGCGGCCCAGACUCCUACGGGAGGCAGCAGUGGGGAAUAUUGCACAAUGGGCGGAAGCCUGAUGCAGCAACGCCGCGUGCGGGAUGACGGCCUUCGGGUUGUAAACCGCUUUCGCCUGUGACGAAGCGUGAGUGACGGUAAUGGGUAAAGAAGCACCGGCUAACUACGUG